rnacentral:rRNA from 1 species
UACGAAGGGGGCUAGCGUUGCUCGGAAUCACUGGGCGUAAAGCGCACGUAGGCGGCUUCUUAAGUCGGGGGUGAAAGCCUGUGGCUCAACCACAGAAUUGCCUUCGAUACUGCAUGGCUUGAGACCGGAAGAGGUAAGUGGAACUGCGAGUGUAGAGGUGAAAUUCGUAGAUAUUCGCAAGAACACCAGUGGCGAAGGCGGCUUACUGGUCCGGUUCUGGACGCUGAGGCGGCGAAAGCGUGGGGAGCAAACAGG